AGCUUUGUGCAGUAGCAGCAUUGAAGCCAAUGAGAUUCAUCCAAGGCUCAGUUUUUGCUAAUUGGAAAUAUUCUGGAAUUAGGUAGAGUGGUAAUGGUUGAAUAACUCUGUCAGU
rnacentral:snRNA from 1 species